AACGCUGGCGGCAGGCCUAACACAUGCAAGUCGAGCGGAUGAAGGGAGCUUGCUCCUGGAUUCAGCGGCGGACGGGUGAGUAAUGCCUAAGAAUCUGCCUGGUAGUGGGGGAUAACGUCCGGAAACGGGCGCUAAUACCGCAUACGUCCUGAGGGAGAAAGUGGGGGAUCUUCGGACCUCACGCUAUCAGAUGAGCCUAUGUCGGAUUAGCUGGUUGGUGGGGUAAAGGCCUACCAAGGCGACGAUCCGUAACUGGUCUGAGAGGAUGAUCAGUCACACUGGAACUGAGACACGGUCCAGACUCCUACGGGAGGCAGCAGUGGGGAAUAUUGGACAAUGGGCGAAAGCCUGAUCCAGCCAUGCCGCGUGUGUGAAGAAGGUCUUCGGAUUGUAAAGCACUUUAAGUUGGGAGGAAGGGCAGUAAGUUAAUACCUUGCUGUUUUGACGUUACCAACAGAAUAAGCACCGGCUAACUUCGUGCCAGCAGCCGCGGUAAUACGAAGGGUGCAAGCGUUAAUCGGAAUUACUGGGCGUAAAGCG
rnacentral:rRNA from 1 species